ensembl:snoRNA
AAUCGUAUUCUAAAAGUUAAAUCAUUCACCUGCAAGUGAGAACAACCUGGAGAGACUUUGACAGCUGAGAUUAACCCAAUCCUGUGGCUGCGGCUCAUUUUUCUAAUAAGA